rnacentral:rRNA from 1 species
UGACAAACCGGAGGAAGGUGGGGAUGACGUCAAGUCCUCAUGGCCCUUAUGGGUAGGGCUUCACACGUCAUACAAUGGUCGGUACAGAGGGUUGCCAACCCGCGAGGGGGAGGCUAAUCCCACAAAGCCGAUCGUAGUCCGGAUCGCAGUCUGCAACUCGACUGCGUGAAGUCGGAAUCGCUAGUAAUCGUGGAUCAGCAUGUCACGGUGAAUACGUUCCCGGGUCUU